GGGAAAGAAGCAUUAUGGUAAUGUGGCUAGCUUGAAACUAACUGAAGGGGGUUCGAUUCCUUCCUUUCUCG
rnacentral:tRNA from 1 species